UACGGAGGGUGCAAGCGUUAUCCGGAUUCACUGGGUUUAAAGGGUGCGUAGGUGGGUUGGUAAGUCAGUGGUGAAAUCUCCAGGCUUAACUUGGAAACUGCCAUUGAUACUAUCAAUCUUGAAUACCGUGGAGGUCAGCGGAAUAUGUCAUGUAGCGGUGAAAUGCUUAGAUAUGACAUAGAACACCAAUUGCGAAGCAGCUGGCUACACGAAUAUGACACUGAUGCACGAAAGCGUGGGGAUCAAACAGG
rnacentral:rRNA from 1 species